AAAAAGGGCUUGUGCUGUGUCUAGCACAUUACUGUUCCCUGCAUUGGGGACGGUGGUGCGGAAUCGAUAUCAAGAGAUUUCGGAAGCAUAAUUUUUGUUAACGGGAUUGCCUGUGAUCGUCAUUCCGGGCGUCCUC